ACAAGUUUCCAGAUGGAUCUCGUGGAUGAUGCAGAAGUCCCAGAGACGGAGUGCAUCUUGGCAGAGAGUUGACGAGCAAACUCCCCCUUUCCUGUUGAUGUAUAACAUUGAGGCUGUGUUGUCCAUCAGGACUCUCCUCAUCACCUUGCCCAACAGAUGAGGGACCACAUACCCUGGGUCUGGAGAUCUCCAAGGUGUGCACCCCAGCCGAGGUCCGAGGCAUCUGAUACCAACUUGAUGGAGUGAGGUGGAGUGUCAAACAGAACUACCUCUAGGACUGUCCUGCGAUUGGUCCACCACUGCAGUGAGAAGGCCCCGGGAGCAACACAUGGCUUGCAGCACUGCUAUAUCCUUUUGGACUUGAGACCUAGAGCUGCCUUUGACCAUCCAGUCAUCGAGGUAUGAGUAGAUCUGGAUUCCCUGAUGCCUCAGGACCUGGCUGUCGAAGCGAAGGUCCUUCAUCGACCGCUGAGCCUUGGUAGACAAGCUCGAAAGAAGCAGCCAGGAAGCUCGCUGCAUAGAGAUGGUGGAGGCCAUGGUGAAGACGGCAGAAUCUGCCGUGUCUAAAGUUGCCUGGAGGGCCGAUCUGGCCACAGCCAUGCCCUCCUCGAGGAUUGCCCGGAAUUCCUUCCUGGAGCCUUUGAGGAGUGAAGCCUCAAACUUGGCCAUGGCUUGCCACAUGUUGUAAUCGUAGUGGCCAAGUGAUUGGCCACUCUCAACU